AGAGUUUGAUCCUGGCUCAGAUUGAACGCUGGCGGCAGGCCUAACACAUGCAAGUCGAACGGUAACAGGAAGCAGCUUGCUGCUUUGCUGACGAGUGGCGGACGGGUGAGUAAUGUCUGGGAAACUGCCUGAUGGAGGGGGAUAACUACUGGAAACGGUAGCUAAUACCGCAUAACGUCGCAAGACCAAAGAGGGGGACCUUCGGGCCUCUUGCCAUCGGAUGUGCCCAGAUGGGAUUAGCUAGUAGGUGGGGUAACGGCUCACCUAGGCGACGAUCCCUAGCUGGUCUGAGAGGAUGACCAGCCACACUGGAACUGAGACACGGUCCAGACUCCUACGGGAGGCAGCAGUGGGGAAUAUUGCACAAUGGGCGCAAGCCUGAUGCAGCCAUGCCGCGUGUAUGAAGAAGGCCUUCGGGUUGUAAAGUACUUUCAGCGGGGAGGAAGGGAGUAAAGUUAAUACCUUUGCUCAUUGACGUUACCCGCAGAAGAAGCACCGGCUAACUCCGU
rnacentral:rRNA from 1 species